GAUGAACGCUAGCGGCGCGCCUAACACAUGCAAGUCGAACGGGAAUAGAGAGCUUGCUCUCUAUUUUAGUGGCAAACGGGUGAGGAAAACGUUGGUACCUCCCUCAAGUCAGGGAUAACUCUUCGAAAGAAGAGCUAAUACCGGAUGUGGCCUUAGGGUCAAAGCAGUAAUGCGCUUGAGGAAGGGCCUGCGUCCUAUCAGCUAGUUGGUGAGGUAAUGGCUCACCAAGGCAAUGACGGGUAAUUGGUCUGAGAGGACGGCCAGUCACAAUGGAACUGAGACACGGUCCAUACUCCUACGGGAGGCAGCAGUGAGGAAUCUUCCGCAAUGGGCGAAAGCCUGACGGAGCGACGCCGCGUGAAGGAUGAAGGGUUUAUUCUUGUAAACUUCUUUUCUCUGGGAAGAUAAUGACGGUACCAGAGGAAUAAGGGACGGCAAACUACGUGCCAGCAGCCGCGGUAAU
rnacentral:rRNA from 1 species